UUGCGGUGAUGACUUGCGAAUCUGUCAAUCCCCUGAGUGCAGUCGCUGAUGUCUCCAUGUCUCUGAGCAA
rnacentral:snoRNA from 15 species